GGGCGGCCCUCGCCACGGGAUCCCGCCGCGGUUUGCCGGCGCCGCUGUUUUAAUUGACGGCCGAAGCGUGGUUUCAAAGACGUGCUUUGCUGAUAUUCUCUGUGGACAUGGAACGCGGCGGCUGUCGGUGCCGCGCAACCCUCUUGCGCGGUCCACCCUGUCUGCAGUGGAUCCCUGCCGGCAAAGCCGGCGGUCGGCCAGGCGGAUUUGUAACAUACUGGAAAUGGCUCUAACCCCGCGCGGGAUCCGAGGGCAGGAGGACGCGGGAGGCACCACUCCGAGAGCUCUGCUGCAGAGUGUGGUCUCGCGUACGUUAACAGUCUCUCAGCUGUGGAUUUGCAACUGAUAGCGACCGCUUCCCCGACGCAUUUAAGGAGGCUCUAGCUAGCCGCCCUGGGAGCCCGCCUAAGAGGGCUGAAACUAUGAGGCGGUAACCGGCCCUUGCCAAGGGGACCGGCAGCGCGAAGUAACCGCGCCGGCGGCCAGCGGCCCGACCACCGCUUCGCCUCCGGCCAUGUAGGCGCAAGACGACGAGCGCGCGGGUCGGUUCCUGGUGUGUGUGUCCCACCGGUGCGCGCAUCCUCCCCGCCAGGCAGCCGCCCAGGCGCUCUCGCCCGUCGCAUGGCCGGCCGGUAGCACGGGGAACUCCUCCCGCCCCAGCACACAGAAACUGAGUCAAGCAAGAACUCUAAAGCUUGUUCAACCCCUGCCCACCCUCCCCCAAGAAUUAAGUUCAUCAGAGCCAGUGUGACACAAGUGCUGCAGUACCUCGGUUUUAUACAUAGAAAGUCAGCCAGGUAAGAUGCUAUAAAGACUGACCUGAGCCUGAGGAGACCUUCUUGAAUGACUUCAUCGUCUUCGGAGGAACCUAAAAUCAGAGAGCUGGAGUCAGUUCUGUGUACAUUGUACCAGAGUACCAUAUUUAAUUACCUCUUUUCCAGUUUAACGGCUCAUUAGAAGGCCAUAAAAUGCCAGGGCAUUGACUCUGUGAAGUGACCUGUAAACUUAUUAACUGUUUGAGACUUACCUAGCUCAUCAGAACCACAAUGAGAUAACAGAGGCAUUAGAUAAAAAUCAGCCACUGAUUAUUUUUUUUUCCCCAAGCAUCCAUAAAGGGACUGCCCCUUUCAUUGGUCUGUUAUGAAAAUGCAGUUGAUAACAGCAGAAGGGAAAAACACAGAUUUGCACGAUAUUGCAAGGUGUUUGUUUCCUUUAUCAAUAUUUAAUUGCAAUAGGUAACCUAAGAACUAGUGAGUUGUCUUUACUACAAUUAAAUUGUACAAAUUAAACAGUCAUACCUUGUAUGUAUGCGAUUAAAAAACAAACCCAAAUGAUUCUUCAGGACUCUUCCAUGUAACUCAAUGCCAAUUUAUGAUAUCACUGGAGAAAUGCUUUCCAUUAUAUCAGUUUUAAAACUGUAGAGCAUAAUAUGUAAUAAUAUUAAAUUCUAAGACUCAAUCUGAACAAAACCAGUCAUAAAAAUACAGAUGUGUGACUUGAUCAAAGCUACAUGAAAGAUGUACUUUUGAUCUAGUUGAGCAAGACCUGGCUAAUUUUGUAUAAUGCCAAUAAGAGUAUAACACACAAAAUGAGUGUCACAGAUGGUAGGAAGCACGAAGGAAAAGACCUUGGGUUUGGAGCAAACUUGUUGCUUAGGCUGUCCAGUUUGUUAAUAAAUGAGAGAUAAAUAGAUAGGAGCAUGCAAAAACUCACCUUCUACAAGCUUCUCUCCUCUUGUCACCCUCUUAUUGUCUUUUGAAUAAUCUAUUUUAACUAAAACCCAUACAAAAUCAACAAGGAAUUGCAUUAUUCUCCUGUUGAGAUAGAAACCAAAUUCUCUUCUCUUUUAAAGAAAACUGAGAUAACUUUUUCAAAUUUAAGAGCACAUCCUAAGAGUUAUCCUCCUCUCUUACUGAAAAACCAGGAUAUUCUACUAGGAGUGGACAAAGCCAGAAGAAUCACCAAAGACAAAUUAGAAUUUAGUUUCUCUUAACUUCUUUUCCCCUACAGCCAGUUACCCUGAAUCCUUUCCAACACAAGGAAUUGGAAAAGGGGAUGGUACAAUCUUUCUUUUCAGUGCAACAACACUGGCAAACUGAUUCAGUUCUUCUUCUGUAGUAACUAAGUUUUCCACUGAAAUUGUGUGGACUUUUUUGCCUUGCAUUAAACCUAGCUUUACUUUUACACCUUCAAGCACUGAAGCCCAUUCUCUUGUGUCUGCUGCUUUGUUCUGCCAACCUGUAGCUAUGUGGCUUUUGUGUCUUUCGGAUUUACUUGCAUUAUUUAUGCAACAUAAUGAAAUAUGCAAGCAUAGAGUAAAGGAUACAUUCUUGGCUUUGGCACGUAGUCUGCUUUAGUUUAUGAAGGUAUUAAAAAUAAGUAUUUGGGGAGCAGGGUCGGGACUCAAAGGGGGAAAUUGCGGUUCUUAAGAAUUAUAGCAGAAACAGCACAAGCUCAAGUUAAUAGUUUCCAGUAUCGCAUUGCGUAAUGUGUUUGUAAGUAUUACAUACUUGAGAGUGUCAAAUAAACAGAUUAUUAAGUAGAAAA
rnacentral:lncRNA from 1 species